CCUACGGGCGGCAGCAGUGAGGAAUAUUGGUCAAUGGGCGGGAGCCUGAACCAGUCAAGCCGCGUGAGGGAAGAAGGUACAGCGUAUUGUAAACUUCUUUUGUCAGGGAACAAAGGCGGGGACUAGUCCCUGGACGAGGGUACCUGAAGAAAAAGCAUCGGCUAACUCCGUGCCAGCAGCCGCGGUAAUACGGAGGAUGCGAGCGUUAUCCGGAUUUAUUGGGUUUAAAGGGUGCGCAGGCGGCCUGUUAAGUCAGCGGUAAAAGCCCGGGGCUCAACCCCGGCGAGCCGUUGAAACUGGCGGGCUGGAGUUGGAGAGAGGUACGCGGAAUGCGCGGUGUAGCGGUGAAAUGCUUAGAUAUCGCGCAGAACCCCGAUUGCGAAGGCAGCGUACCGGCUCCACACUGACGCUGAGGCACGAAAGCGUGGGUAUCGAACAGGAUUAGAUACCCGGGUAGUC
rnacentral:rRNA from 1 species